CAACCCUCAAGCACCGCUUGGUUUUGGGGCCCCACGGCACACGUGGGCCCUUAAAGGUAGUGGCGGACCCUCCCGGAGCCUCCUUUGCGUAGUAACUAACGUCUCGCACUGGGAUCCGGAGGGACUCUUGCCGUAAAACCCCCAAAUUUUUUACAGG
rnacentral:rRNA from 1 species